AGAGUUUGAUCCUGGCUCAGAACGAACGCUGGUGGCGUGUCUUAUACAUGCAAGUCGAGCGGUGCAGCAAUGCAUAGCGGCGAACGGGUGAGUAACACGUAAGCAAUCUGCCCCCUACUUGGGAAUAGCCGUGCCAACGCGCGGAUAAUACCGAAUAUCGUGGCGUCCCGCAUGGGACGUUGACGAAAGAUUUAUCGGUAGGGGAUGAGCUUGCGUCCGAUUAGCUAGUUGGCGGGGCAACGGCCCACCAAGGCGACGAUCGGUAGCCGGCCUGAGAGGGCGAUCGGCCACAUUGGGACUGAGAUACGGCCCAGACUCCUACGGGAGGCAGCAGUAGGGAAUAUUGCACAAUGGGGGGAACCCUGAUGCAGCAACGCCACGUGUGGGAAGAAGCAUUUCGGUGUGUAAACCACUGUCGUGAGGGAAUAAUGCUCGGUCUCGGCCGAGUUGAAUGUACCUCGAAAGGAAGCACCGGCAAACUUCGUGCCAGCAGCCGCGGUAAUACGAGGGGUGCAAGCGUUGUUCGGAAUCACUGGGCGUAAAGGGAGCGUAGGCGGAGACGCAAGCAGUCUGUACAAUACCGGGGCCCAACCCCGGACCUGCAGACUGGACUGUGUCUCUUGGAUAGUUCAGGGGCAGGCGGAAUUCCUGGUGUAGCGGUGGAAUGCGUAGAGAUCAGGAAGAACACCGAUGGCGAAGGCAGCCUGCUGGGGACUCAUCGACGCUGAGGCUCGAAAGUGCGGGUAGCAAACAGGAUUAGAUACCCUGGUAGUCCGCACCGUAAAUGGAUGCAUACUGGGUGUCCGGGGCUCGCCCCGGGGUACCGAAAGCCAACGCGUUAAGUAAUCCACCUGGGGAGUACGUUCGCAAGAAUGAAACUCAAAGGAAUUGACGGGGACCCGCACAAGCGGUGGAGCAUGUGGUUUAAUUUGAAGCAACGCGAAGAACCUUACCUAGUCUUGACAUCCCAACGAAUUAAGGGUAAUGCCUUAAGUCUUCGGACGUUGGUGACAGGUGGUGCAUGGUUGUCGUCAGCUCGUGUCGUGAGAUGUUGGGUUAAGUCCCGCAACGAGCGCAACCCUUGUCCUUAGUAGCCAGCAGGUAAAGCUGGGCACUCUAGGGAGACUGCCAGGGAUAACCUGGAGGAAGGUGGGGAUGACGUCAAAUCAUCAUGCCCCUUAUGACUAGGGCUACACACGUGCUACAAUGGCGUAAACAAAGGGAAGCGAAGUGGUGACAUGGAGCGAAUCCCAAAAAUAACGUCCCAGUUCGGAUUGUAGUCUGCAACUCGACUACAUGAAGCUGGAAUCGCUAGUAAUCGCAGAUCAGAACGCUGCGGUGAAUACGUUCCCGGGUCUUGCACUCACCGCCGGUCAAG
rnacentral:rRNA from 1 species